rnacentral:lncRNA from 1 species
GUAUAGAGGUAUGGGACUGUAGGUGGAGGUAUAGAGGUAUGGGACUGUAGGUGGAGGUAUAGAGGUAUGGGACUGUAGGUGGAGGUAUGGGACUGUAGGUGGAGGUAUAGAGGUAUGGGACUGUAGGUGGAGGUAUAGAGGUAUGGGACUGUAGGUGGAGGUAUAGAGGUAUGGGACUGUAGGUGGAGGUAUAGAGGUAUGGGACUGUAGGUGGAGGUAUAGAGCUAUGGGACUGUAGGUGGAGGUAUAGAGGUAUGGGACUGUAGGUGGAGGUAUAGAGGUAUGGGACUGUAGGUGGAGGUAUAGAGGUAUGGGACUGUAGGUGGAGGUAUGGGACUGUAGGUGGAGGUAUAGAGGUAUGGGACUGUAGGUGGAGGUAUGGGACUGUAGGUGGAGGUAUAGAGGUAUGGGACUGUAGGUGGAGGUAUGGGACUGUAGGUGGAGGUAUAGAGGUAUGGGACUGUAGGUGGAGGUAUGGGACUGUAGGUGGAGGUAUAGAGGUAUGGGACUGUAGGUGGAGG